rnacentral:lncRNA from 13 species
AAGCAGCUCACUUGCUAUCCCAAGAAAUGGCACAAGGUUGUCAUUUGCAAGAGAAGAAAUGGACAUCCCGAGAGGGGGAACCAGAUGUCCAAAUAGAAGCCUCCAGUAAUCAUCUCCCUUCAGGAACACCAAAUCAAACAACUAUCCGCACAAAAGAGCACCUUCAUAAGAACCAAAAAUCAAUAGAGAUGAGGUUUCACCAUGUUGGCCAGGCUGGUCUUCAACUUCUAACCUCAGGUGAUCUGCCUACCAUGAAUCAAUCAAAGCUAGAAGGACAUAAUCUACUCUGUGUGUGAUGGUUAAUAGAAUGUCAACUUGAUUGCAUUGAAGGAUACAAAGUAUUAAUCCUGGGUGUGUCUGUGUGGGUGUUGCCAAAAGAGAUUGACAUUUGGGUCAGUGGGCUGGGGAAGGCAGAUCCACCCUUAAUCUCAUGGGUAAAAUCUAAUCAGCUUCCAAAAUAUGAAGCAGGCAGAAAAAACAUGAAAAAGAGAGACAGGCUUAACCUCCCAGCCUACAUCUUUCUCUUGUGCUGGAUGCUUCCUGCCUUCGAACACAGGACUCCAAGUUCCUCCGUUUUGGAAUUGGGACUGACUCUUCUUGUUCCUCAGUUUGUGGAUAGCCUAUUGUGGCGC